GAUGAAGAACGUAGCGAAAUGCGAUACGUAAUGUGAAUUGCAGAAUUCAGUGAAUCAUCGAGUCUUUGAACGCACAUUGCGCCCCCUGGUAUUCCGGGGGGCAUGCCUGUCCGAGCGUCAUUGCUGCCCUCAAGCACGGCUUGUGUGUUGGGCCUCCGUCCUCCUCCCGGGGGACGGGCCCGAAAGGCAGCGGCGGCACCGCGUCCGGUCCUCGAGCGUACGGGGCUUCGUCACCCGCUCUUGUAGGCCCGGCCGGCGCUUGCCGACACAUCAAUCUUUUUUCCAGGUUGACCUCGGAUCAGGUAGGGAUACCCGCUGAACUUAAGCAUAUCAAUAAGCGGAGGA
rnacentral:misc_RNA from 1 species